CAACUACUCCCUCUAUCCCAAAUUUCUUGUCUUAGAUUUGUCUAGAUANAAUUUCUUGUCUUAGAUUUGUCUAGAUACAGAUGUAUCUAAUACUAAAAUGUGACUUGAUACAUCCGUAUCUAGACAAAUCUAAGACAAGAAUUUUGGGACGGAGGGAGUACUUU
rfam:Triticum aestivum genome assembly, contig: Triticum_aestivum_CS42_TGACv1_scaffold_230078_3B